GAUGAACGCUGGCGGCGUGCCUAAUACAUGCAAGUCGAGCGAACAGAUAAGGAGCUUGCUCCUUUGACGUUAGCGGCGGACGGGUGAGUAACACGUGGGUAACCUACCUAUAAGACUGGGAUAACUUCGGGAAACCGGAGCUAAUACCGGAUAACAUUUGGAACCGCAUGGUUCUAUAGUGAAAGAUGGUUUUGCUAUCACUUAUAGAUGGACCCGCGCCGUAUUAGCUAGUUGGUAAGGUAACGGCUUACCAAGGCAACGAUACGUAGCCGACCUGAGAGGGUGAUCGGCCACACUGGAACUGAGACACGGUCCAGACUCCUACGGGAGGCAGCAGUAGGGAAUCUUCCGCAAUGGGCGAAAGCCUGACGGAGCAACGCCGCGUGAGUGAUGAAGGGCUUCGGCUCGUAAAACUCUGUUAUUAGGGAAGAACAAACGUGUAAGUAACUGUGCACGUCUUGACGGUACCUAAUCAGAAAGCCACGGCUAACUACGUG
rnacentral:rRNA from 1 species